CGAAUUCGAGACAACAUACGCACCUCUUUUUAAAAAUCUUAUUUAUAGAUAAUGUAAACAAAAACGCCUGGACUUCUACUUUGAAAACGUCGCGCAACAUCCCUUUUGGCUGCCAUUAUUUGAGCCAAUUUUUCGUAUUGCCCGUAUUACCGCUCGCGAAAA